rnacentral:rRNA from 1 species
UACGUAGGGGGCGAGCGUUGUCCGGAGUUACUGGGCGUAAAGAGCUCGUAGGUGGUUUGUCGCGUUGUUCGUGAAAACUCACAGCUUAACUGUGGGCGUGCGGGCGAUACGGGCAGACUUGAGUACUGCAGGGGAGACUGGAAUUCCUGGUGUAGCGGUGGAAUGCGCAGAUAUCAGGAGGAACACCGGUGGCGAAGGCGGGUCUCUGGGCAGUAACUGACGCUGAGGAGCGAAAGCGUGGGGAGCGAACAGG